rnacentral:rRNA from 1 species
ACGGAAGGCAGCAGUGGGGAAUAUUGGACAAUGGGGGCAACCCUGAUCCAGCGACGCCGCGUGUGUGAAGAAGGCCUGCGGGUUGUAAAGCACUUUUAGUGGGGAUGAAAAGCACAUUGCUAAUACCAGUGUGUCUUGACCUAACCCAAAGAAAAAGCACCGGCUAACUCUGUGCCAGCAGCCGCGGUAAUACAGAGGGUGCGAGCGUUAAUCGGAAUUACUGGGCGUAAAGCGUGCGUAGACGGUUAUUUAAGUCGGGUGUGAAAGCCCCGGGCUCAACCUGGGAAUUGCAUUCGAGACUGAAUAGCUAGGGUACGGUAGAGGGAAGUGGAAUUUCCGGUGUAGCGGUGAAAUGCGUAGAUAUCGGAAGGAACAUCAGUGGCGAAAGCGACUUCCUGGACCAGUACCGACGUUCAGGCACGAAAGCGUGGGGAGCAAACAGGAUUAGAUACCCUGGUA